AUUGAACGCUGGCGGCAUGCCUUACACAUGCAAGUCGAACGGCAGCAUGAUCUAGCUUGCUAGAUUGAUGGCGAGUGGCGAACGGGUGAGUAAUACAUCGGAACGUGCCCUGUAGUGGGGGAUAACUAGUCGAAAGAUUAGCUAAUACCGCAUACGACCUGAGGGUGAAAGUGGGGGACCGCAAGGCCUCAUGCUAUAGGAGCGGCCGAUGUCUGAUUAGCUAGUUGGUGAGGUAAAGGCUCACCAAGGCGACGAUCAGUAGCUGGUCUGAGAGGACGAUCAGCCACACUGGGACUGAGACACGGCCCAGACUCCUACGGGAGGCAGCAGUGGGGAAUUUUGGACAAUGGGCGAAAGCCUGAUCCAGCAAUGCCGCGUGUGUGAAGAAGGCCUUCGGGUUGUAAAGCACUUUUGUCCGGAAAGAAAUGGCUCUGGUUAAUACCUGGGGUCGAUGACGGUACCAGAAGAAUAAGGACCGGCUAACUACGUG
rnacentral:rRNA from 1 species